UUAGAAUUAAGAUUUGAUUUAAGUUAGGAUUUGAUUAAGAUUUAUUUAGGAUUUAACUAAGAUAUAUUUAAGAUUUGAUUAAGAUUUGGUUAGGAUUUGUCUAGGAUUUGACUAGGAUUUUUUUAGUAUUUGAUUAGAAUUUAAUUAAGAUUUUAUUAGGAUUUGAUAAAAAUUUGACUAGAAUUUGAUUAGAGCUUAUUUAAGGUUUGACUAGAUUUUGAUUAGAGCUUAUUUAAGAUUUUUCUAGGAUUUUUCUAAGGUUUGAUUAGGAUAUAUUUAGAUUAGAUUAGAUUUGAUUAGAAUUUGAGUAGAGUUUGACUAAGAUUUUUUAAAAAUUUGGCUAAGACUUAUUUAGGAUUUUAUAAGAAUUUGAUUAGGAUUUGACUAAGAUUUGAUUAGAACUUAUUUAGGAUUUGUCUAGGAUUUAACUAGGAUUUAUUUAAGAUUUGACUAGGAUUUAUUUAAGAUUUGAUUAGGACUUAGUUAGGAUUUAUUUAGGAUUUGAUUAAGAUUUGAUUAGAAUUUGAUUAGGAUUUGUUUAGAAUUUGUUUAGGACUUAUUUAGGGAUUGAUUAGGAUUUGACAAGGAUUUGACUAAAGUUUGACUAAGGUUUGAUAAAGUAUUGAUUAGAUUUUGAUUAAGAUUUUUAUUUUAGUAUAUAUUUUUUGAAUUUCUAUUUUAUUCUUUUAUGAUUUCUUUAAAGGAUCUUUAGGAAUUCUUUGUAUUUUUUAUAUAAUUUCUUUGAAAUUUUAAUUGAAUUUGAUUGAUGUUUG
rnacentral:lncRNA from 1 species